UAAAGUCAGUGGGCCUGUUUAUAAGAUAAGGUCCUGGAAUGAGGGUCCACUGAGUCCUGGACUCUCUCUUUUGCCUGGGCUGUCUUCAGCCGGGUAUGAUGAAGCCACGACAGGAUCCCGUCGACCUUGACUGCGGUGGGAGUGGUCCUUUCCAGGCAGGAGUCAGUCCUUGGGUGGCAAACUUCUUUACCCAAACAGAGUCACCAGGUUGGAAGGGAUGAACUGGAUACAGGCAGAUCAUCACAGACGUGCUUCUGGUCUGCUUUCUGGGUAAAGGUUCUUAUUAGAAGCUU